rnacentral:rRNA from 1 species
AGAGUUUGAUCAUGGCUCAGGAUGAACGCUAGCGGCAGGCUUAAUACAUGCAAGUCGAGGGGCAGCAUGAGUGUAGCAAUACAUUCGAUGGCGACCGGCAAACGGGUGCGGAACACGUACACAACCUUCCUUUAAGUGGGGAAUAGCCCAGAGAGAUUUGGAUUAAUACCCCGUAACAUUAUGAUGUGGCAUCACAUUAUAAUUAUAGCUCCGGCGCUUAAUGAUGGGUGUGCGGCUGAUUAGGUAGUUGGCGGGGUAACGGCCCACCAAGCCUGCGAUCAGUAACUGGUGUGAGAGCACGACCAGUCACACGGGCACUGAGACACGGGCCCGACUCCUACGGGAGGCAGCAGUAAGGAAUAUUGGGCAAUGGAGGCAACUCUGACCCAGCCAUGCCGCGUGGAGGAUGAAGGCCCUCUGGGUUGUAAACUUCUUUUAUAUGGGACGAAAAAGGGCCUUUCCAGGUCAACUGACGGUACCAUAUGAAUAAGCACCGGCUAACUCCGUGCCAGCAGCCGCGGUAAUACGGAGGGUGCAAGCGUUAUCCGGAUUCACUGGGUUUAAAGGGUGCGUAGGUGGGUUGGUAAGUCAGUGGUGAAAUCUCCGAGCUUAACUUGGAAACUGCCAUUGAUACUAUCAGUCUUGAAUAUUGUGGAGGUCAGCGGAAUAUGUCAUGUAGCGGUGAAAUGCUUAGAUAUGACAUAGAACACCAAAUUGCGAAGGCAGCUGGCUACGCAUAUAUUGACACUGAGGCACGAAAAGCGUUGGGGGAUCAAAACAGGAAUUAGAUA